rnacentral:rRNA from 1 species
AUUGAACGCUGGCGGCAGGCCUAACACAUGCAAGUCGAGCGGAUGAAGGGAGCUUGCUCCUGGAUUCAGCGGCGGACGGGUGAGUAAUGCCUAGGAAUCUGCCUGGUAGUGGGGGAUAACGUCCGGAAACGGGAGCUAAUACCGCAUACGUCCUGAGGGAGAAAGUGGGGGAUCUUCGGACCUCACGCUAUCAGAUGAGCCUAGGUCGGAUUAGCUAGUUGGUGGGGUAAAGGCCUACCAAGGCGACGAUCCGUAACUGGUCUGAGAGGAUGAUCAGUCACACUGGAACUGAGACACGGUCCAGACUCCUACGGGAGGCAGCAGUGGGGAAUAUUGGACAAAGGGCGAAAGCCUGAUCCAGCCAUGCCGCGUGUGUGAAGAAGGUCUUCGGAUUGUAAAGCACUUUAAGUUGGGAGGAAGGGCAGUAAGUUAAUACCUUGCUGUUUUGACGUUACCAACAGAAUAAGCACCGGCUAACUUCGUG